rnacentral:rRNA from 1 species
UACGUAGGGUGCAAGCGUUGUCCGGAAUUAUUGGGCGUAAAGAGCUCGUAGGCGGCCUGUUGCGUCCGCUGUGAAAUCCCGGGGCUCAACCCCGGGCCUGCAGUGGAUACGGGCUGGCUAGAGGCAGGCAGGGGAGAACGGAAUUCCUGGUGUAGCGGUGAAAUGCGCAGAUAUCAGGAGGAACACCGGUGGCGAAGGCGGGUCUCUGGGCCGAUACUGACGCUGAGGAGCGAAAGCGUGGGGAGCGAACAGG